GGCUAACGCUGGCGGCGCGCCUAACACAUGCAAGUCGAACGAACCCUUCGGGGUUAGUGGCAGACGGGUGUGUAACGCGUGGAUAAUGUGCCUCUUUGCUGGGGAUCCCGUUCCGAUAGGAACGUUAAUACCGAAUGUGCUUGUUUGGCGGCAUCGUCGAGCAAGUAAACUGUUAGGGUGAAGAGAGCAGUCCGCGUUCUAUCAGCUAGUUGGUGAGGUAACGGCUCACCAAGGCUACGACGGAUAACUGGUCUGAGAGGAUGAUCAGUCACACUGGAAGGGAGGCACGGGCCAGACACCUACGGGAGGGAGCAGUGAGGAAUCGUGAAAAAUGGGCGAAAGACUGAUGGAGCGACGCGGCGUGAGGGAUGAAGGCCGGCGGGUAAUAAAACUCUGUCAGUAGGGAAGAAGAAUGACGGUACCUACUGAGGAAGCAUCGGCUAACUACGUG
rnacentral:rRNA from 1 species